rnacentral:rRNA from 1 species
AUAUCAAUAAGCGGAGGAAAAGAAACCAACCGGGAUUGCCUCAGUAACGGCGAGUGAAGCGGCACGAGCUCAAAUUUAAAAUCAGGUCCCCCGCGAGAGGGCCCGAGUUGUAAUUUGGAGAGGAUGCUUCGGGCGCGGGGCCGUGGCCUAACUCACCUGGAACAGUGGGUCAGAGAGGGUGAGAAUCCCGUCCGUGGCCGCGGUCCCGGCCACCUGCGAAGCUCCUUCGACGAGUCGAGUUGUUUGGGAAUGCAGCUCUAAAUGGGUGGUAAAUUUCAUCUAAAGCUAAAUACUGGCCGGAGACCGAUAGUGCACAAGUAGAGUGAUCGAAAGAUGAAAAGCACUUUGAAAAGAGAGUUAAACAGCAUGUGAAAUUGUUGAAAGGGAAGCGUUUACACCCAGACGCGUGGGUGUCGGUUCUCCCCGCCCCGCGGGGGCGGGGCUAUUCUGUCGCCCCUGGGCCAGCAUCGGCCCGGACGGCCGGUAAAACCCCCCGGGAACGUAUCUACCCCCUUCGGGUCGACUUACAGCCCGGGGUGCAAUACGGCCAGUCCGGGCCGAGGAUCGCGCUUCGGCUCGGAUGCUGGUGUAAUGGUUGUAAACGGCCCGUCUUGAAACACGGACCAAGGAGUCUAACAUCUGUGCAAGUGUUUGGGUGUCAAACCCGGGCGCGGAAUGAAAGUGAACGGAGGCAAGAGCCCCCGCCAGGGGGCGCAUUGUCGACCGAUCCUGAGGUCUUCGGAUGGAUUUGAGUAAGAGCAUAGCUGUUGGGACCCGAAAGAUGAUGAACUAUGCCCGAAUAGGGUGAAGCCAGAGGAAACUCUGGUGGAGGCUCGCAGCGGUUCUGACGUGCAAAUCGAUCGUCAAAUUUGGGCAUAGGGGCGAAAGACUAAUCGAAUCAUCUGGUAGCUGGUUCCUGUCGAAGUUUCCCUCAGGAUAGCAGUAACGAAUUCAGUUUUAUGAGGUAAAGCGAAUGAUUAGAGGCCUUGGGGGUGAAACAUCCUUAACCUAUUCUCAAACUUUAAAUAUGUAAGAAGUCCUUGUUGCCUCGUUGAACGUGGACAGUUGAAUGGAUCGUUACUAGUGGGCCAUUUUUGGUAAGCAGAACUGGCGAUGCGGGAUGAACCGAACGUGAGGUUAGGGUGCCGGAAUGUACGCUCAUCAGACACCACAAAAGGUGUCAAUGCAUCUAGACAGCCGGACGGUGGCCAUGGAAGUCGGAACCCGCUUAGGAGUGUGUAACGACUCACCGGCCGAAUGCAUUGGCCCUGAAAAUGGAUGGCGCUUAAGCGUGCUACCUAUACCUCGCCGUCGGGGUUGAAACGAUGCCCCGACGAGUAGGCAGGCGCGGGGGUCGGUGACGAAGCCUCGGGGGUGACCCCGGGUCGAACGGCCCCUGGUG